UUCCAAGACCCAGUCCAAACCUACCCCAGCUUGACAAACGACCCUGUUUGAGCCUUUCUCACUUCAACUGUUGGAUCAACAAGAUCAAACUGGCCAUAGCUCAACCCCCCUCCCCCACGUAUAAAUCUGUCUAAAAUAGCCCCCCUCCCUCUCAAAAACUCCUUCCAUUCAUCUUCUCUACGCUUGGAGAACCAGAAUCUAGCACCGUCCUCAUAGCCUUUUUGCUAUCUCCGUCAUCAGCGGCCCCUCAAAAUGCCACCAAACAGACUCAAAUCCCUCUUCCAUUACCCCUAAGCCCCGCUGAAUAUGAAGACAACACGAUUUUCCCCAGAAUUCCCACCUUUUCUCUUCAAUUCCAAACUUGAAAAUUCAAAAAAAAACCUAAGUCGUCCCUAACGCUGAUUUUCAUAUUUCCAAGGCUCGAUUUGACUCAAGACUUACGUUAGUUGAUUGUUCUCGCUCAGAAUAAUUGAUUAAUGGUAGGUUAGGCUCAUCCGAGAAUGACAAGUCUUUAACCGGCCGACCAAGUUUGUCACCUUCAUCGAUUUAUUCAGGUUAAAACCAGUACCAUUCCUUCUUCUUUUCCUUUUUUCUUGUGUCCGUCUUUCUAAUUCUCGUUUGAUUGGUGUGAAUUAAUUUUAGUUUGUUUAAAAUCAAUAUUUCUAACUAUUUGAAUGCCUGAUUAGGAUUAAAUGUUUCAUCAUAAUUUUUCCGUUUGAUUUUUAUUUUGGUCGGAUUUAUUUUGGGUUAGUCGUUAAUUUCUAACUAAUGCUUAGCUUAUUAAGGGUUUGUCAGAAUUAUUUUCAUUUAUUACAGCUCCAUUAUUCUUUGUUCUAUUCCUUCAAUUCACCCUUAGUGUAAUCUGGGUCUGAGCUUGAGCUUCAAAUGCUCAAUUGGUUGAUUUAAGUUUAGGUUGUGAGCUUUUUUUUUUUGGUCAGCACUGACCCGUUUCAAGAAAUCAGUUCAUUUUGGUUUGGGUUUUGGGUAAACUUGACCUAUGUGAAUGGACAUAAUAGAGUGUAGAGGGUUAAUUUGGGUAUUUUGAAACUAAAGAAAUAUUUUUUUGUUAGCAUAGAAGCUUCUAUAGGAUAAGGUUUGGCUGGUUGGUUAAGGGAAGAGAAUUUUCAGAUAUUUUGAAGGGUUAAAUGUGGUAAAAUAACCAUAAAUUGGAAGGUCAAAAGAGGAAAUAGUUAGGGCUGCCUUAGGCUACCUAUAUAAAGACUUCGUUGACUCAUUUCAGAGGUAGCCUUGGAUAUUCUAAAAAAUACAACAGGUUUUUUUUCUGCAUCAUUUCAACUUAAAUUGCUGAAAAUUUCUCUCUAGGUUUAUUGCUAGGAAUAGGUUAAAACAUUCAAAAGAAUUUCUGGUUCAUCUUGGUUCGAAAAUGGUCAAGAAGAAUUGAGAAAUAUUGUUAAUGUGUUGAGCUGUUGUUACUGCUUGAAGUUCUCACUCAUUUGCUUUUGUUUUAGUUUCUAGGUAUGUCAUGGCUCUUGAGUAACGUAUGAGGUGCAAAUGUGAAACCAUGUAAUUAAGUUGAAGAUUUAAUGACAAUUGCUAGUUUUUCGGUGAAUAGCUGUUUGAGCCCUUUACAAUUUGUUUAUGCUUCUAUUAAAUUAUCUUUACUAUAUAUAUUUCCUUCAUAUUACAUUUCAUCAUAAGGUUGGAUUUGGGGUGUUAGUUUGUCGUGUUGGAUGUAUUUGCAGGAAGAAAACCUCCUGUUGAGUUGUUCUUUUACAAGUAUCCAGUUUAAGAUUUGUUCAUGCUUAGGAUAAUACGCAUAAAUGGAGGAAUAUGAAUUCUAUUAGUUUGAUCUGUGAGUUUUUGCGGGAUUUUUUUCUGAAAAUGCUGCCUAUGGUUAUGGUUGAAUACUCAUCCAACUAGCUCAUUCAUUUUGUUUCUUUUAGCAAAUCUAAUUUAAGCUUUGUUUCUCCUUUCAAUCAGCCUACUGUUGCGUUAGUUUACCCUUUAUCGCCUGUAAAAUGGCUCGGCUAUUUAGCACUACCUCACUCAUGUUCAAGCAACUUGAGUUUGUAAAUUUCUUUCGAUUUGAUUUUUAGUUUAAUUUCAGGUCUAAAGGCGUUCAAAUUUAGCCUGUUGUUCACAUCUUGUUGCCUUUGACAUGAUUCAAAAAUUGGAAUGUUUGUUCAAAUGCUGGCCAAGUUGAACUUGGCAAGGGCUAUAAUGCUUGUCUUCUAUUUUCGGGCUUAGUCUAUUGCCCAAGUCUCUUCCCCUGUGUUAUUAGUACUGGGAAAGUAUAUGCUGCUUGAUUAAUUGCUUAAUUGGGCCUAAACUUGAAGUCUCUUGAAAAGAAGCUAUCUGUUGGAUUGUUGUUGGGUUUGAAGUGAACUUUCUCCUUGAUCAUUUGUUGGGUCUAAGAAUAAGCCCAAACAGGUUGAUUAUUUAAACGUUUAGGUAUCUCCUUUGUUAUCAAUUGUCAAAUUAUCCUAACCUAUCGGCUUAACUAAGUGGAUCGAGGUGUGUCAUAUCAACAAACGUAUAAUUUAUGGCCCUUGUAAGAUUAGUCAUGGCAUAUAUUUGAGGCGUGCCAUAAGCAAAUUAAAUCUUCUAUGGCCCUUACAAAUGUACAAUGUAGAUAUUAAAAAUGAACUGAGGAGUUUGCUUUAGGUGCAUUUAUUAUAUAAUUAUCACAAUUAUUACUAAAACUUGGGGCUACAUUUCAUGUGGCCCGAUUCCAAUUUCCAAGAAGGUUAAAUAGAAAGUAUCGUGAACCACGAGUGUAUUUAUGUAGCGUGGCUUGCGAUAUGUUUUAAAUAACCUUAAAUUAAUUCUUUAAAUAAAUAAAAGCGGUAUAAACAUUGAAAAAUGCACAUAGGUUUGAAAGUGUUCUAAAUAGAUAAAUAGGCCAAUAAUAACAGUUGAGCGAUUGUGCUAGAACCACGGAUCCCAGGAAUGCCUAACACCUUCUCUCGGGUUAACAGAAUACUCACCCGAAUUUCUAUGUUCGCAGACUUUAACACAGAGUCAAUUUCCUCGAUUCGAAAUUUAAAACAGGUUGCUUGGGACACCGUAAAUUAUUUCAAGUGGCAACUUUGAACAAUAAAUAAGUAAUCUCGUUUAUAUUGUCACUUAAAUUUAAUAAAACUCCCUUAUAUACCCUUCUGGUGGUGUGGAAAAGGAGGUAUGACACUUAUAACCUCAAAAAUAAUCUUGUCCUUGAAUUUAUGUCAAUUAACUUACGACAAAUCCAAUGUACAAAAGUACAAGAUAUAAUUAUUCCUAGAUUGACUUUUAUCCGAUGAUCCAAUACCCUUCCACUCGACACAAUCGUAUCUCUAAAGUCAAGGAUUCGAACCUUUUCAUACUGGUACCAAAAAGUGAUGCCUCAUCACGUGGUUAUAUUCCAUAGGCCUGCCUACUUUAUGUGAUGACCCGACAGGUCGUUUUAUGAAUUAAUGUCCCGAUCCCCUAUUAAUUGCUUCCCAUAAGUUCAUUUCUGCUAUUUUAGUUUGUCGGCACGUUUAGUAUUGAGUUUUGGAGAGUUUUUGGCAGACUUAGUCCCUAAAUGAUACCUUAGGUGUAGAAAAGUGGUCCAUAGUCAGAAAAAUGUGCAAACGACCUUGGAAUGGAAAUUUGAUGGUUCUGUUAGCUCUGUUAAGUGAUUUCAGAGUUGGAAGCGUGUUCGGAAUGUGUUUUGGAAGUCUGUAGCUCAUUUAGGCUUGAAAUGCCGAAGAUUGAAUUUUUAAAGUUUCCUGUCCAAUACAGAGUUUUUGAUCCGAGGCUCGAAAUGGAAUUCCGGAAGUUGUAAUAGCCCCGUCAUGUCAUUUGGGAUGUGUGUGCAAAGUUUUAGGUCAUUCGGACGUAUUGUGGAUAUGUUUUUGAUCGAAAGCAUGUUUCGAUAAAUUUGAAGUUCUUAGGCUCUAAUCCUUGAUUAGUUUGAGUUUCUGGCGUUGUUUUAGGUGGUUUAAGUAUUGGUGCAAGUUUGAAUGAUAUUAUUGGAUAUGUCCGUAAGUUUGGUUGAGGUCUCGGGGGCCUCAGGUGUGUUUCGGAUGCUUAGCGGGUUAUUUUCUCUUAUUUUUUAACUGCUCCUUCUACUUCUGGUAUCCCUUCUUCGCAUUCGCAAGCCUUCCCUUCGCAUUCGUGAAGGCUUAUCUUGACCACCUGGGAAUUUCCUCUUCGCGAUCACAUAACUCUUCCCGCCUUCACAAAGCCCAGCUUACUUCCUCUUUGCGAUCGCAUAAACUACCUCGCGUUCGCGUACCUGUGCUAAGUCUGGUCAUCGCGUUCGCGUAGAACAACUUCUGGAUCUCAACAUUUUCCUUCAUCGUGUCUGCGUUCUAGAUGCCGCAUUCGCGUAGCUUCGUGAUCGCAGGCCUUUGCAUUCUACCCCUCGCGAUCGCGAAGGGCAUUUUUGACACCUUCUAUUUUUCUUCUCCGUGAACGCGAUCUCAUCCCCGCGAUCGCUGAAGUAUUAAAUUUCUGGGCAGUAUUAAGUCAUUCAAAAAUGAGGUUUAGCUAUUUUUAUCAAAAUACAAGCUUGGGAGCUCAGAUUUGGGAGAAAGUUCGAAGGUUUUUCGAGAGACACGAUUGGGUAAUGAUUCUAAACUCCUUUUUGCUUAAAACCUGCUAAUCUAAUCACGAAUUUCUCUUCUAAUUUCGGAUAUUUGAAUGAAAAAUGGGUAAUACUUCAUAGACCAAAUUUUUGAGUUUUGAAUGGGUGUUUGACCUCCGAUUUGAGAGAUUUAUAUAUAGGUAGACUCGUGAGAGUAUGAGAAAAUGCUAAGUUCCACCGAUUCCGAGACAUUGUGCUAAGGAGCAUUUUGAUCAUUUUACCAAAUUUCGCGUCUUAGAUUUGACUUAAUUAGUAGAACUAUUUGCUUGAGAUGUUAUUUAUGAUAUGUAACUGAAUUGAAUAGAUUUGGACCAUUUGGAGUCAGAUACUUGUGGCAAAAGUGUGAUUUCGAGUUAAUUUUGGAGCCCAUUCGAAGUAGGUGUCUUGUCUAACCUUGUAUGUGGGACCUUCCCCUUAGGAAAUAUUAUUUGGUGAUUGACAUGCCUUGUACGUGAGGUGACCAGCGCGUACUUGAGCUAUUUCUUGAUAAUUUAAUUUUACCUUAAAUGUUUGGACUGAGUUUUCCUUCCUACCUGCUUUAUUCUACUUGCAAUUAUGCUCUAUGUUAGUUUAGAAAAGCAUGCUUAGCUGACCUAAAUUGCCUAUUUGCUUAAGUUUCUUUGAUGGUACUACGUGAAGUAUUUUAAGCUAGAACUACAUGUUACCUUGUAUUUUUGCACUCUAUUUCUGGAUAUCUUCUUGUUGUGACUGCGUAUUCUCAUUGAGAGUACGGAUGUCAGAUGCAGGUAGCUCUCCCCCUUGUUUGUUUACUUUGGGACUGCGAGUUUGAUUCCCGAUAGGACCCCCUAUACAUUUACUUUAGGUCUGCGGGUUAGAUUCUCGAUAGAUCCCCUCUGCAUAUUUACUUUGGGACUUCGGGUUAGAUUCCCGAUAGAUCCCCUGCACAUUGAUAGGUUGACUACGGAAUGGUAUCCCGGGCGAUCCUUCAAAUAUACACAUGUGAGAGACUACGGGAUGGUAUCCUGGGAGAUCCACUGGACAGUUGAAAAAAGGACUACAGGACGGUAUCCUGGGAGAUCCUCGUUGUUACCAUUGGUAUUGAGCUGUACAUUUUCAUUUUUACUCCGUUCUUUGUGUAUUUGUUAUUGCCUUGUUUAGCCUGUCUUAUUUCACUGAUGUAUUCAUUAUUACUGCCUUUUUUGAUAUCGUUAAUUCAUAUUAUAUUGUUUAACCUCAGCAGGGCCCUGACCUUCCUCGUCACUACCCGACCGAGGUUAGGCUUGGCACUUGCUGAGUACCGCUGUGGUGUACCCAUGCCUCUUCUGCACAUAUUUUUCAUGUGCAGAUCUAGAUACUCUUCUCAGGCAAAUCAUCCUUGAGGGAGGCGACUACUCAGAGACAUCAAGGUAUACAUGCCCCGUCUGCAGGCCGAGGAGUCCCUUUUCAUUCCUACUUUAUGUUAUUUUAGCUCUUCUGUAAUUUCAAAUCUUGAUAGACGAAUUCCCAUGUUAGAGCUAUGUAGUGUUUCUUGUCUUAGCUUGUGAUUCGUGGGUUUCCGGGUUUUGGGGUGUUAUUAUAGACUUCCGCGUUAUUGAGUCGUAUAUGUCGGGCGGCAUUUAUCUAUACGGUUUUUCUUCUAGUUGUUCAGUUUUAAAUGUUUAUUUCCUCAAGUUAUGUUGUUUUACGCAUUGUUAGGCUUACCUAGUAGUAGGGACUAGGUACUAUUGCGACAUGUUCAUGGAGGACGAACUGGGGUCAUGACACUUUGGAUGGUAGGAACGAAAGAGGGGGGAAGGGAAAAGCAGGGAUCCAACCAUAUAAAGAAGUACCUAUUAAAUUGAUAACAAAAUAUUAGCUACAGUACCUAUUAUCCAAAGAGGAAUUGUUCCACUAGUAUUGGCCAGUUACCUAAUUUUUCUUUAGGUUUCAUGAAGUGAUCAUGCUAGAAAAAUAAACAGUCAUAAAUAAUUAAGUUACGAGACAUUUCCUAAUGAAUUAAAAAUUUAAUUUUAAAAGUAAAAUUGGAGGGAGAAAAUAAUUUUCACAUUUUCUUUUUUGGUUUUUGUUUUAGUUCCUAUCUGUCACGACCCUAGUUCACCGAUUGUGAACAUGUCUGACGGCACCUAGUAUUCACGACCAGCUAAGCCUAACACAUAGCGGAAGUAACAUCAUUUACGAAAAUUUAAAAUCCAAAAGAGAAAUAACAUGAGUAAUUUAUAUAGUUGCCGCCUGGCACAUACACUUUAACAAUUAACAAAUCGGAAACUAUCCCAAAGACCCGAAAACCCACGGGCAACACACGCUAAGAGUAAAACAUAACAUACGACUCUAUUAUCCGGAAAUGUCUACAACAACAGAAUACAUGAAAUAGAACUGCGAACUACAAGGUAGAGUAGAAGGAGACUCUUCGGAUCUGCUGACGCGGUAGAUACAUACCUCAAGUCUCCGAGUAUAGCCCCUGGAUCACUGAUAGUGCGCUCGACCAGAGGUACCUGGAUCUGCACAUGAAAAACAUGCGCAAAAGAGGUAUAAAUACACCACAUUUGUCUCAGUAAGUGCUAAGCCUAACCUCGGUUGAGUAGUGACGAGGAAGGUGAGGGCCCUACCAAGAAUAAAGAUAACAACAGUAAUGAACACUGUAAGGAAAAACAAUAAGCAGGAAAGUAACAAUAUAAUAGGAUAGAAGUUACAUGUCAACGACAAUUAAGCUAUGCAAAGAAUAUAACACAACCAACUAUCACUCAAUAUCAGGAUGUCAUAUGGAACUCCUGGAAUUGAACCCGUAGUCCAUGUUACUAAUGUCUGAGGAUCUCCUGGAAAUUGAACCUGUAGUCCUUCAUACCAAUAUCUGAGAAUCUCCCGAGAAUUAAACCCGUAGUCCAUCAUACAAAUAUUUGAGGAUCUCCCGGGAAUUGAACUCAUAGUCCAUCAUACCAAUAUCAGAGGAUCUUCCAAGAAUUGAACUCGUAGUCCAUCAUACCAAUAUUAGAGGAUCUCCUGGGAAUUAAACCUAUAGUCCAUCAUACCAAUAGUAGAGGAUCUCCCGGGAAUCGAAGAGAAUAUAGUGCAAUUCAUCUAAAAAGAACAAGUAAGCUAACUAACAUGCUUUCCCUAAGCUUAUGCAAGUAAAAUUGCAUUUAUUACAGUUAAAUACGUGAAGAACGCAGUCUAAAUAAGUCAAGUAAGGUGAAUUUCCAACAAUUAGCACAAGCACGCACUCGUCACCUCGCACACAAGGCCUUUCUAAACAACAAUCAAGAUAUCCUAAGGGAUGAGGUUCCCCAUACAAAGUCAGACAAGCCACUUACCUCGAACCAGCACAAAAUCUCUAAGAAAUGAUGCCCUUGCCAUGAGUAUCCGACUCCGAGUGGCCCAAAUCUAUUAAAACCAAUUACAUAUUGUAAAUAACAUCACAAGUAACUAAUUCCACUAUUAAAAUUAAACCUUAGGCACAAAAAUAGGUAACAUUACCAAAAUACCCCUCAAGCCAAUGUCUCGCAAUCAAAUAAUUUUCAAAAUUUUAGAAAUCUCGUACUUUCACGAGUCUAACCAUAUAAAAAUUUCCCAAAUCAGAGGUCAAAUGCCCCUUUAAAUCCUCACAAUUAGGUCUAAGAACUUAACCCCAAUUUUCAUUCAAAAAUCCGAAAUUAAAGGUUGAAUUCACGAUUAGAUUAGUGGGUUUUAGUCAUAGAGGAAUAAGGAAUCAUUACCCAAUAAUUGCUUCUGCAAAUCCCACGAAAAAUCUCCCAGAAUCGACCUCUUUAGCUUGAGUUUUGAUAAAAAUGGAAGAACCCUCGUUUUGAAAUGUUUAUAUCUGCCCAGGUCUGUUGUCUAUUGCGAUCGCAUUGAACUGGAUGCGAUCCCGUAGAGUAAAAAUUGAAGGCCCAGAAAUUGGCCUAUGAGAACACAGACGAAGUCAUGCGAUCGCAGAGAAGGGGGAAGUGAAGCUAUGCGAUCGCGGACUGGGCUAUGCAAUCGCGGACUGGGCUAUGCGAUUGCGUAGAAGGAUUUUGGCUCUGAGGCCCAGCUCCUAAAUUCUACUAUGCGAACACAUGAAGAGGAGUGCGAUCGCGGAGAAGGAGAAGGGAGAACUAUGCAAUCGCAUACGAGGACCUGUGAUCGCAUUGAAGGAAAAUAGGCCCCUCAUCAAAUGCACUAUACGAUCGCAUGGGUGGGCUGCUAUCGCAUAGAAGAAAGGCCUGCCAUAGAACAACAGAAAAAUCUGCAACUCCUUUUCAAUACAAAAAGCCCCGUUGAGCAUCGGAAACACGCCCGAGGCCCCCGAGGCCUCAACCAAACCUAUGGACAUAUUAUAUAACAUCAUUCAAACUUGUAUCAAUUCAUAAACCACCUAAAACAACGUUAGAAACUAGAAUUGAUCAAUGAUUUGAACUUAGGAACUUCAAAAUCCAACCAAACCCGCUUUCGAUAAAAAACCUAACAAAAAAAAUUCGAUUGACCUGAAAUUUUGCACGCACGUCCCAAAUGACAUGAAAGUGCUAUAGCAACUUUCGGAAUCCCGUUUGGACCCUCGGAUAAAAAAUUCACUAUCAGACCGAAAACUUCAAAAUUCUAACUUUCGGCUUUUCUUGACUGAAUGAACUACAAACAUCCAAAAUAUAAUCCAGACACGCUCCCAUCCCUGAAAUCACCUAACGGAACUAACGAAACCAUCGGAUUUCCAUUCCGAGGUUGUCUUCACACUAUUCUGAAUACAUACAAUUUUCAAUCAUUUAAGCUCUCAUUUAGGGACUAAGUGUCCCGAAACACUCUGAAUUCUAUCACUAAACAUCCCGACAAACCAAACUAGCAGAAAUGAAAUUAGGGGAAGCAGUUAAUGGAAAAAUGGGGCAUAAAUUCCAAAGACUACUGGCCGGAUCGUCACAUCCUCCUACGCUUAAAGAUUCAUUCAUCCUCGAACUAGCAUAGAGAACAUAUCUGACGUAGCAAAAAGGUGAGGGUAUCGGCUGUGCAUAUCCCACUCGGUCUCCCAAAUCGCCUCCUUGGCCGGCUGACCCCGCCAUUAAACCUUUACUGAAGCUAUAUCCUUUGACCUGAGCUUUCGGACCUGCCUGUCUAAUUUGCCAUUGGCUCCUCAACAUAGGACAAGUCAUUGUCCAACUGGCCUGAAGUGAAAUCCAACACGUGAGACGGGUCACCGUGAUAUUUCCAAAGCAUCGAGACAUGAAAUACCGGAUGAACCCUGGCCAAACUGGGAGGUAUAGCAAGCUCAUAAGCAACCUCCCCAACACGCUACAAAAUAUCAAAUGUGCCAAUGAACCUCGGACUCAACUUUCCUUUCUUUCCAAACCUCAUGACGCCUUUCAUAGGCGAGACCCAAAGCAAAACCCGCUCACCAACCAUAAGGGAAACAUCACAAACCUUCCGGUCCGCAUAACUCUUCUGUCUGGAAUGGCCGCAUAGAGUCUAUCCUGAAUCACCUUAACCUUCUCGACUGCAUCCUGAACCAAAUCAGUACCUAAUAGUCUGGCCUCACCUGGCUCGAACCAACCCACCGGGGAUCUGCAUCUCCUACCAUCUAAGGCCUCAUAUGACGCCAUCUGAAUACUGACUAAUAACUUAUGUUGUAUGCAAACUCAGUCAAUGGCAAGAACUGAUCCCAAGACCCUCUAAACUUAAUCACGCACGCAUGGAGCAUAUCCUCAAGAAUCUGAAUAGUGUGCUCGGACUGUCCAUCCGUUUGAGGGUGAAAAGCUUUACUCAUAGUCACCCGGGUACCCAACUCGUGCUGGGAUGCCCUCCAGAACCGUGAUGUAAACACUGAACCCCUAUGUGAGAUGAUAGAAACUGGAAUGCCGUGCAGACGGAAAAUCUCCCUGAUAUAGAUCCCCGCUAACCACUCCGCUGAAUAAGAAGUAUACACUGGAAUGAAAUGAGCGGACUUGGUCAGCCGAUCCACAACAACCCAAAUAGAAUCAAACUUCCUCACCGUUAGAGGAAGGCCAGUCACAAAAUUCAUAGUGAUAUUCUCCCAUUUCCACUCCGGAAUCUCCAUAUGCUGGAGUAACCCUCCCGGUCUCUAGUGCUUAGCCUUUACCUGCUGACAGUUGAGGCAUCUAGCUACAAAUUCUACUAUGUCCUUCUUCAUCCGCCUCCACCAGUAAUUACCUUUACCUGCUGAUAGUUGAGGCAUCUAGCUACAAACGCUGCUAUGUCCUUCUUCAUCUGCCUCCACCAGUAAUGCUGCCUCAGAUCCUGAUACAUCUUCACGACUCCCAAAUAUCAUCAACAUCGGUACACAUAUCCGACCCUGCAUCCUCAAUACCCCAUCAUCUCCAAUAGUUACAUCCCUAGCAUCGCCAUGCUAAACUAUGUCCCUGAGAACAAGCAAAUGAGGGUCACCAUACUGUCGCUCCCUGAUACAAUCAAAUAAUAAAGACCGAGAAACCACACAGGCUAAAACCCAACAAGGCUCCGAAAGGUCCAAUCUCCCAAACUGACUGGGUAAAGCUUGAACAUCCAUCGCCAUAGGUCUCUCUGAAGCUGGUAAAUAUGCCAAACUCCCUAAACUCUCCGCCCAGCGACUCAAGGCAUUAGCUACAACAUUGGCCUUGCCCGGGUGAUAUAAAAUAGUGAUAUCAUAAUCCUUCAGUAACUCCAACCAUCUCCUCGGGCGCAAGUUCAGAUCCUUCUGCUUGAACAAGUGUUGUAAACUUUGAUAAUCCAUAUAAAUUUCACAAGGAACGCCAUACAAUUAGUGACGCCAAAUCUUCAAGGCAUGAAAAAUAGCAGCUAACUUAAGGUCAUGGACAGGGUAGUACUUUUCAUGUACCUUCAACUGCCUGGACGUAUAAGCAAUCACCCUACCGUACUGCAUCAACACUGCUCCAAGUCCGACUCGUGAGGCAUCACUAUAAACUGUAUAGGACCAUGAACCAGUAGGCAAAAUAAGAAUAGGGGCUCAAGUCAAAGUCGUCUUGAGCUUCUGAAAGCUCGCCUCACACUCGUCUGUCCACUGAAAGGGAGUACCCUUCUGGGUCAAUCUAGUCAUAGGGGCUACAAUUGAUGAGAACCCUUCCACCAAACGACGGUAAUACCCCACAAGGCCAAGGAAACUACAGAUCUCAGUAGCCUAGGAGUGCUUGGGCCAACUUUGCACGGCCUCCACCUUCUUCGAAUCUAUUCGAAUGCCAUCACUCAAUACUCAACAAAAACUCACAUUUUGAGAAAUUUGCAUAUAAUUUAUUUUCUCUUAGAGUCUAAAGCACUGUCCUCAGGUGCUGCUCAUGAUCUUCCCUACUCUGGGAAUAUAUAAGAAUAUCAUCUAUGAAAAUAAUGACGAACGAGUCAAGAUAGGUCUUGAACACACUGUGCAUCAGAUGCAUGUAAGCUAUUGGGGCGUUGAUCAGCCCAAAUGACAUGACAAGGAAUUCGUAAUGACCAUACCGAGUCCUGCAAGCAGUCUUCGUGAUAUCUGGCUCCCGAAUCUUUAACUAGUGAUAACCUGAGCGCAAAUCAAUCUUAGAAAACACCUGUGCGCCCUGAAGUUGGUCAAAUAGAUCAUCAAUACGAGGCAAAGGAUAUCAGUUCUUCACUGUAUCUUUGUUCAAAUGAUGUGCAUAGAACCAUCCUUUUUCUUUACAAACAAGACAUGAGCACCCCAUGGUAAAACACUAGGUCAAAUAAAACCCUUAUCAAGCAAUUCCUGUAACUUCUUCAACUUAGGAGGAGUCAUAUGGUAAGGAGGAAGAGAUGGUCUGAGUGUCCGGCAACAAAUCAAUACAAAAAUCAAUGUUCCAAUCAAGAAGCAUGCCCGGAAGUUCAAAUGGAAACACAUUAGGGAAACUUCGUACUACUGGGACAGAGUCAACAGAAGGGGUAUCAGCACUGACAUUUCUCCCAUAAGCUAAAUACGGAGUGCACCCCUUCUCAAUCAUACGAUGACCUUUAAAAAAAGAAAUAACCGUGCUGGGAGUGUGAUCAAAAGUACCACUUCACUCAAUACGUGGAGUACCUGGCAUAGCCAGCGUCACGGUCUUAGCAUGACAAUCAAGAAUAGCAUACAAGGGCGAAAACCAGCCCAUGUCCAAGAUAAUAUCGAAAGAAACCAUAUCAUGUAAUAAAAGAUCUUCCCUGGUCUCUAAACCACAAAUAGUAACCAAAGAUGACCGAUAUACGCGGUCCACAACAAGGGAAUCUCCUAGGGGAGUAGAAACAUAAACAGGGGAGCUUAAGGUCUCUCAGGCUGUACCCAAAUGCAGAGCAAAAUAAUAUUACACGUAAGAAUAAGUAGAGCCUGGAUCGAAUAGAACCGAUGCCUCUCUGUGACUGACCAAUAUAAUACCUAUGAUGAUAGAAUCGGAGGCGACAGCCGCAGCACAAUCAGGAAUAGCAUAAAACCGGGCCCGGCCCCUCCCUCGAGGGCGACCUCUAUCUCCCCGAUCCCCGCCCCUGGCUGGCUGGGUAGGUGGAGUAGUAGCUGGAGCUGGAACAAUUGCCUGCUGCCCCUCUGGAGCAUGCUAAAGCUGUGGAGUCUAAGAACGAACAACCCUACCACGUCUGGGGCAUUCUCUAACCAGGUGGCGGAUAUCCCCGCACUCCUAACAAGCUCUGGGAUGGCAAGGUGGCUAUGACUGACUGGGCCCACCCCCACUAGACUGAACUCUGGGAGUACCCCGCGCAGGAGGUGCACUAGAAACUGAAGGUGCAUAAUGAGGCUCUUGAGAUCUGGGAGGAGCUGGAGUACUGUUGGAUGAAGGAAGAGCUGAGUGAACUGGGCGACCCAUAUACCCCUACCAUUACACUCUGCUGCUAGGGUAUGGGUACCAGAGUAGUGACCCAACUCUCGAGACCUCUUGGCCUCUCUCUCCUCUCGUUCUCUGGCGUGCAAACCCUUGAUCCUCUUAGCAAUGCUCACUGCCUGCUGAUAAGGAAUAUCCACCUCCAACUCUCGAGCCAUGCUAGAUUUGAUGGAUGGAAUAAGACCCUCAAUAAAUCAGCGAACCCUCUCGCGGACAGUAGCAACCAAGGCGGUUGCAUGUUUGGCCAACCUAGUAUAACAGAUGGCGUACUCUAAAACGGUCAUAGCACCCUGGCGCAAAUGCUCAAACUCUGCGCCAUGCGUCUCUGAGCCACUGCGGAACAAACUCCAUCUAAAACAUUAACUACUGUGACGCCCUACUCUCGAAGUAUGGGUACCAGAGAAAUGAAUAGACUCUCCAGACCUCUUGGCCUCUUCCUAUCCUCUCUCUCUCUGGCAUGCAUACCCUCUAUCCUCCUAGCAAUGCUCACUACCUGAUGAUAUGGUAUAUACAUCUCUUACUCUCACGCCAUGCCAAACCUGAUGAAAGGAAUAAGACCCUCUAUAAACCAGCUAACCCUCUCACGAACAGUAGCCACCAAAGCCGGCGCAUGCCUGGCCAACCUAGUAUAGUGGAUAGCAUACUCAGAGACAUUCAUAGGGCCCUGGUGCAAAUGCUCAAACUCCGCGUGCCAUGCAUCUACUAGCCUCUAGGAAACAAACUCCCUCUGAAACAUAUCGAAAACCAAGCCCAAGUUAGGGAGACAGCCUCGCCCAAACUGUCUAACUUAUGUGCGCAACCAGUCAUAGGUGGCUUCCCGAAGUUGGAAAACCGCAAAAGAAACCUCACUAGAGGCAGUAAUACUCAAGGUGCGAAAGAUGCGAUGACAAUCCUCCAAAAACCCCAAAUCAUCUUCUGUAGCUAGCCCGCUGAAAAUAGGGGGUUAUACUUCUUGAACCUCUCCAAUCUAUGCUGCUCAUCCUCGGGCUGAAUCGUUACUGUAGGCUGGGCAUGGAUAAUACUUGGAAUCUGUCCCAUAUGCACCCUCUUCUCUGGAGUGCGGGCUGCGGGAGUCUGGGCUCCUCCCCCCGCCUGGGACGUGGCUGCAAGAAGGGGAAGCAAUCCUGCCUAUAACACCGUAGUAUACAUACUCAUAAAAUGCACCAAUGCCUCCUGGACAGCUGGAGUAGUGAUGUCUAUGCGCGUUUCAGGUGCCUGAGUCCUGACUAGAUCCGCUGGUGGUACCUCGGCGGCCACUCGUGUAGGAGCUCUGGCCGUACCGUGCGCGCGUACACGACCCCUGCCCCAGCCCCUGUCUUUAGCGGCUGCAGGAGGGGGUGUGGGUGCCUGAUUUCCCUGGGUCAUGCGUGUCCUCGCAAUCUGUAAGAGAAUAGAAGACAGAAGUUUAGAGUCCACGUCAAAAAUACAGCACGACAAGAAUUCAAUGAAGUGAAGAUUUUCCCUAAACAGUUACAUAGCCUCUCGUGGAUAGGUACUUACGUCUCCGUACCGAUCAGCGAGACUCUAAAUAACCGGCCUAUGUCCCAUGAAGCCUAUGAACCUAGAGCUCUGAUACCAACUUGUCACGACCCUAGUUCACCGAUUGUAAACAUGUCAUGACGGCACCUAGUCUUCAUGACCAGGUAAGCCUAACACAUAGCGGAAGUAACAGCAUUUACGAAAAUUUAAAAUCCAAAAGCGAAAUAACAUGAGUAAUGUAUAUAGUUGUUUUCUGGCAUAUACACUUUAACACUUAACAAAUCUGAAACUAUCCCAAAGAGCCAGAAACCCACGGGCAACACAGGCUAAGAGUAAAACAUAACAUACGGUUCUUAUUCGAAAAUGUCUACAACAACUAAAUACAUGAAAUGAAACUGCUAACUACAAGGUAGAAUAGAAGGAGACUCUUUGGAACUACGGACACGGCAGAUGCAUACCUCAAGUCUCCGAGUAUAGCCCUGGAUCACUGAUAGUGCGCUCGACCAGAAGUACCUGGAUCUGCACAUGAAAAACAUGCGUAGAAGAGGUAUGAGUGCACCACAAAGGUAAUUAGUAAGUGCCAAGCCUAACUUCGUUUGAGUGGUGACGAGGAAGGUCAGGGCCCUACCGAGAAUGAACAUAACAACAGUAAUGAACAAUGUAAGGCAAAAAAAAAGCAAGCAGGAAAGCAACAAUAAAACAGGAUAGAAGCUGCAAGUCAACGACAAUUAAGCUACGUAAAGAAAAUAACACAACAAAGUAUCACUCAAUAUUAGGAUGUCAUAUGGAACUCCGGGAAUUGAACCUGUAGUCCAUGUUACCAAGGUCUUAGGAUAUCCCGAGAAUUGAACUUGUAGUCCUUCAUAUCAAUAUCUAAGGAUCUCCCUGGAAUUGAACCCGUAGUCCAUCAUACUAAUAUAAAGGAUCUCCCGGGAAUUGAACCCGUAUUCCAUCAUACCAAUAUUAGAUGAUCUCCCAGGAAUUGAACCCGUAGUCCAUCAUACCAAUACUAGAGGAUCUCCUGGGAAUCGAACCUGUAGUACAAAUCGCAAACACAUCACACCAAUUAAAAAAUGUACAAAUACCAAGUAAAGACAACAGGUAGAAUCCAAAGUCUAACAUGAUUCACGAUGAGCAAAUAUUGCAAUUCAUCCGAAAAGAACAAGUAAGCUAACUAACAUGUUUUCCCUAAGCUAAAACAAGUAAAAUUGCAUUUAUAACAGUUAAAUACGUGAAGAACGCAGUCUAAAUAAGUCAAGUAAUGUAAAUUUCCAAUAAUUACCACAAGUACAUGCUCGUCACUAGUACACAAAGCCUUUCUAAACAACAGUCAAGAUAUCCUAAGGGAGGAGGUCCCCCACACAAAGUGGGACAAGCAACUUACCUCGAACCAGCACAAAAUCGCUAAGAGACGGUGCCCUUGCCACGAGUAUCCAAAUACGAGUGGCCCAAAUCUAUUCAAACCAAUUACAUAUUGAAAAUAACAUUACAAAUAACGAAUUCCACUAUUAAAAUUAAAGCUAAGGCGCAAAAAUAGGUAAAAUGACAAAAAUACCCCUCAGACCAACGUCUCGGAAUCAGAUAAUUUUUAUAUUUUUAGAAACCCCGUACUCUCACGAGUCUAACCAUAUAUAAAUCUCCCAAAUCGGAGGUCAAAUGUCCCUUCAAAUCCUCAAAAUUAUAUCUAAGAACUUUACCCCAAUGUUCAUACAAAAAUCCGAAAUUAAAGGUUGAAUUCACGAUUAGAUUAGUGGGGUAUAGUCAAAAAGGAGUAAGAAAUCAUUACCCAAUCACUGCCUCUGAAAAGCUCUCGAAAAAUCUCCCAAAACCGAGCUCUCUAGCUUGAGUUUUGAUAAAAAUGGAAGAACCCUCCUUUUGAAAUGUUUAUACCUGCCCAGGUCUGUCGUUCAUUGCGAUCGCAUGGAACCGGAUGCCAUCGCGUAGAGUAAAAAUUGAAGGCCCAGAAAUUGGCCUAUGCGAACGCAGAGGAAGUCAUGCGAUUGAAGAAAAGGGGGAGAUGAAGCUAUGCAAUCGGGGACUGGGUUAUGCGAUGGCGUAGAAAGAUUUUGGCCUUGAGGCCCAGCUCCUAAAUUCUACUAUGCAAAUGCAUGAAAAGGAGUGCGAUCGCGGAGAAGGAGAAGGGAGAACUAUGCGAUCCUAUACAAGGACCUGCGAUCCCAUUGAAGGAAAAUAGGCCCCCCACCAAAUGCACUAUGCGAUCGCAUGGGUGGCUGCGAUUGCAUAGACGAAACAGAAAAAUCUGCAACUCCUUUUCAAUACAAAAAGCCCCGUUGGGCAUCCGCAAUACACAUGAGGCCCCCGGGACCUCAAUAAAAUCUACGGACAUAUCACAUAACAUCAUACAAACUUGUACCAAUCCUUAAACCACCUAAAAAAAUGCCGGAAACUAGAAUUAAUCAAUGAUUUGAAAUUAGGAACUUCAAAUUCCAACCCAACUCGCUUUCGAUCAAAAACCUAACCAAAGCACCUCCAAUUGACCUGAAAUUUUGGACGCACGUCCCAAAUGACAUGACGGUGCUACAACAACUUCUGGAAUCCCGUUCUGACCCUCAUAUAAAAAAUUGACUAUCGGACCAGAAACUUUAAAAUUCUAAGUUUCGACAUUUCUAGCCUAAAUGAGCUACAGACAUCCAAAAUACAUUCUGAACACGCUCCCAACCACGAAAUCACCUAACGGAGCUAACGAAACCAUCAGAUUUUCAUUCCGAGGUUGUCUUCAUACUGUUUUGAUUACGGACUAUUUUCCAACGCUUAAGCUCUCAUUUAGGGACUAAGUGUCUCGAAACACUCCGAAUUCUAUUACCGAACGUCCCGACAAACCAAAAUACCAUAAAUGAACUUAGGGGAAGCUAUUAAUGAGAAAACGCGAGCCAAAGACGACCGGCCGGGUCGUUACACUAUCAAAGGAUGAAAAGUUGACCAUCUAUAUAAAGUUGAAUCUGUGGUAAGAGGUUGGUUUUGGGGGGGGGGGCAUUGUUUGAUGAGGUAGAAAUUGCACGGGCAACCUAAUUGGUCGCCCCCAUCUUAAAAUAUACCUAUUUUUCUAAAAAAAUUUAACUUAAACCCACUUUUUAAAAAACUUCAACUCCCUUUUUUCCUUGCAUCUCCAUUUUAGAUUCUACUUAUUUUACUUUCCUUCUCCCUUCUGCUAUCGUUUUUUCUUCUCCAAUUUAUCACCAACAGCUUAUGCAAGCAUUCGUCGAACUUUUUUUUGCUCUACCGCUAGCCAAAACAAAAAAAUAGAAUACUCAACAAACACGACGAAAUUUUAAAGUGGGGUAACAUUCAAUCAAUGUUUAUCCAAUACCCAAGAAAGAACGCGGGCAUUGUUUGAAGAUGUAGAAAUUGCACGGGGUAUCCUUAUUGUUCGCCCCCACUUAAUAUAUACCUAUUUUUUUAAAAAAAUUUAUCUUAUACCCACUUUUAAAAAAACUUCAAAUCCCUCUUUUCCUUGCAUCUCCAUUUUAGAUUCUACUUAUUUUUACUUUCCUUCUCCCUUCUGCUAUCGUUUUUUCUUCUCCAAUUUAUCACCAACAGCUUAUGCAAGCAUUCGUCGAACUUUUUUUUGCUCUACCGCUAGCCAAAACAAAAAAAUAGAAUACUCAACAAACACGACGAAAUUUUAAAGGGGGGUAACAUUCAAUCAAUGUUUAUCCAAUACCCAAGAAAGAACGCGGGCAUUGUUUGAAGAUGUAGAAAUUGCACGGGGUAUCCUUAUUGGUCGCCCCCACUUAAUAUAUACCUAUUUUUCUAAAAAAAUUUAACUUAUACCCACUUUUUAAAAAACUUCAAAUCCCUUUUUCCUUGCAUCUCCAUUUUAGAUUCUACUUAUUUUACUUUCCUUAUCCCUUCUGCUAUCGUUUUUUCUUCUCCAAUUUAUCACCAACAGCUUAUGCAAGCAUUCGUCGAACUUUUUUUUGCUCUACCGCUAGCCAAAACAAAAAAAUAGAAUACUCAACAAACACGACGAAAUUUUAAAGUGGGGUAACAUUGAAUCAAUGUUUAUCCAAUACCCAAGAAAGAACGCCACUAAGAUGCCUUAAUUUAAUAUAUACACACACGCACAAAGAGAAGGAGAGUGCUGAUCAGUGCAAGUAAAGAUACAAAACCAUGAAGAAGGAUGCAAGAAAACUGAUUAAUCCAAAUAAAAAAUAGUAACUUUAAUGAACUAAAUAACUUCAGUUAUGUAGACGAAUAUUUUUGGUUACAAAGAUAAAAAAUUCAACUCUAGAACUGAAGUUUUUCAGUACAAAAGAAAAACUCCAGCGCUGAAGUUUUUCAGUUACAAAAGAAAAACUUCAACUCUAGAGCUAUAGUUCGCCAGCUAUAAAAUAAAAACUUCACCUCUAGAGCUGAACUUUAUGCCCGGAUACUAAAAUGUUGAAGUUUUGCGUGAUUGUCUUUGCUACUUCAGCCUCAUGUGCUGAAGUUAUGUAAAAAGGCGGGUACGCUUGUAAUUUUUUUUUGCAAAGUGAACACAAGUUAAAAUAUGACACAAAAACAGGUAUAGAGCAAAUGCCCCUUUGAAAAGCUACUCUAUUUUUAUAAUGUUGGACUUUUUACUGAGAAGUAAAGUUUUAUAAUAAACAAAAGUGUAAUAUCUAUCUUGCAUACUUCCAUCGCCUUAAUUUUUUUAAAUCAUUCUAGGUAUUUUCACUUUUAUAUAAUCUGAUUGAUUUGUUAUAGCAAAUUAAAUUACAUGGAUUUGAUAGAAAUAAUAAAAUUAAACACAAAGACAAUAUUACAAUUGAUGAUUUCUAUAUCAGAAAGAAAAAUCCAAUUAAGAAAAUGUGAUUUAUUAUAUUAGAAUUGUUUUGGUUUUUACGAAGUAUUAAUUUUUUAGAAUUGAGAAAUGCCAAGAUCGGAAUGGUUUGCUUAGUUAUCCUAAUGUUGGAGGAUUGGAGACAACUUAAUUCUUUAUGACUCACCAUAAUUUUAUAUCUAUUGACCAGUGCAUCCGGAGGCGACACGGCCAAAAAUUCUCAAACGACAUUCUAUUAUUAUUUACGUAUUUUUUCGGUUAAGGGUCAAAUAUAUCCUUUUACUAUUAAAAAUAAGGCAUAUUUAUUUUCCGUUUGAAUUUUUUAUCAAAUAUGUCCUCAACGUUAUUCAUUAGGGCCAUAUAUAUCCCUCAGCCGUUAAAAUUUGCCUCAAGAUUUUUUUUAGCACGUGGCAUGUUCUGAUUGGACCAAAUGACCCGCCCAUUCGAUUAAUUAAACCCGCCCGGACCCAGCGUAUUAAACCCGCCCCGACCCAGCGUAUUAAACACUUUGCACCAUGGAAACAGACGCGGCCAAGCUCCGCCCUCACUUCCUUCAUGUUCUUCGUAGCCAUCGUCCUUCUCAUGGUAUUCUUUUUACUGUUCUUUUAAAAAUUAUCUUGUUAACGAAUGGAUUCAACGUCAAGUUGAACUUUUCUGCUAAAUUGAAUGUCAAAUUUUAAACUAACUUUUCACCCCUUACUUUCAUAUUUACUUCUAUUAUCAUAAAUAUUUAAGGGUCAACUAGACAUCUUAUACUCUCUGCUAAAUUGAAUGUCAAAUUUUAAACAAACUUUUCACCCCUUACUUUCAUAUUUACUUCUAUUAUCAUAAAUAUUUAAGGGUCAACUAGACAUCUUAUACUCAAAAUUUAGUCAUAUGCUGGGAUGUAAGGAGUAAAUGUUAUUAUUAAUGUAUUAAACUUGAAUUUGUGGUUUGAUUUGUAACUGAACUGGAAAAUUAUUUAUAGCUAGCAUUAUGAAAGGGAAUAUCAGAAUGCAACAGAAAAGCAUAGCAGUUGACUGAUCCGGGGGGNNNNNNNNNNNNNNNNNNNNNNNGGGGGGGGGGGGGGGGGGGGGGGGGGAAUAUUAUUUUUUAGUAAAAGGCUGAUCUGAAUCUAAUUAGACCGUCACAAUUCUAUAAGAUAAAUAAAGCUUGGAUUCAUUGGGUAAAUAAAAUUGUGAGAGUGGUGGAAAGGUUUAUUCUAAUCUUUUUUGGGGGAUGAGAGGAUAAAGAAAGUAGAAUUGACUGUCAAGAAUGAGAAGAUGGAAGGAAGAUAUUUGUAGUUUAGUUGGCAGGAUGAACAGAGCUGGAAUACCACUGAAAUCAUACGGGACCGGAACUUUCAGCGGUGCCGGAAAAAGGUAUUUAAUACGCUGGGUCGGGGCGGGUUUAAUAUGCUGGGUCGGCGGAUUUAAUUAAUUGAAUUGGCGGGUUAUCUGGUCCAAUCAGAACAUGAUACGUGUUAAAAAAAAAUGGAGGUAAAUAUUAACGGCGGGGGAUAUAUAUGGCCCUAAUGAAUAACGGUGGUGACAUAUUUGAUAAAAAUUCAAACAGAUGAUAAAUAUGACAUAUUUUUAAUUGUAUAAAGAUAUAUUUGACCCUUAAUCAUAUUCUUUUUGGUAAAUACUAAAAGUUCUUAUAAGGUAUGAGCCACGUUUUUAUAUAUCAAAAUUGGUCAAAAACUAUGAAUUAAUUCUCAAGUUCGAAUUAUGACUUUUCAGCAAAUAAUAAGCAUAUUUUUACUAUUUUGAUUUUCACAUUUAUUUUUUGUAUCUUGAUUCUUCUAUUACCUUGUCCCUCCCCUACCCCCGCCCCAAAAAAACCUCAUCUCGUCCUCCUUUCCUAUUGUUUUAAUCAUUUUGGCAUAAAAAGUAGUUUCUUUUAAUACUUCUAUCUAAUAACAUAAAUAAUAAUCUCUUCAGUCUGCUUUAAUUGACUGUUUAGUCUUUUUGUGGUUCAUAAUAUUUAAUUUUUUUCAGAUAUUAAGAAGAAAUUAAUUUUUUUUAAAAAUUUAUCCUUGAAGUAAAGAGUCUUGGAAUAUAUAUUAUAUUUAUUGAACAAAUUAAUGAGAUGGUAAAUAUUAAUUUAGUCAAUUUAAUUUUUAUUUAAUAUUAAAAGGUAAAUUUUUUAGUAUGUAUGAAAAUAUCCAAAAAUAAAUAAAUUAAAGUUGUCCGGAGGGAGUAGUAUUUAUUAUGAACAAUUUAGGUAAAAACUCAUUGAGCUUAAAACCAUUAUCCUUUCCUAUCCAUUUGAAAACUAUUUAUAUUAUAUACCUACUAAAUUAAAACUAAUUACCCCUACGCGUCCAUCCAAAUUUUUUUUUCUCAUAUGGCUUAGUUUAGCUUGAUUUGGCAUGACUUUAUUUGGCUUUGGCUUGAUUUGGCUUGAUUUCGUUGUGGCUCGGCUUGAUUUGGCUUGAUAUGACUUGAAUUGGCUUAUCGUAUUUUUCUUUUACAGGUCCCUUAAAAAAUAUUAAUUAGGAAAGUGAUUUGAUUCUACCCUUAUUUAUGUCUUAAGAUAUAAUCUCUCUUCAUUAAAUAUUUAUUCUAUUUAUGUAUUAUCUCCAUUUUCAAGAACAAAUAUUACAAAGGGUAAAAGAGAAAAAAAAAUUAAUUUUAUCUUGAAUUUCUAAAAUGAUAAAUAAUUUAAAAUUAAUAUUUUUAGUUAUCACGACUGUUAAUAUGAGACGAAGAAAUAGUAACUUAAUUUGAUUUCAUUUGGCUGGAUAUAUAUAUAUAUAUAUAUAUAUAUUUUUAAAAGGUAGGCCGUAGGGGAGAAAAGUGAUGGGCAGGGUCGGGUAAAUAUUCCCUGCAUUUAUAUUUGCUAAACUUCCCCAUUUAUUUGUUAUAUUAAUUUCAACACUUGAUGUUUGUUAACUAGUUGAUAUUUAUGUAUCUCUUUUGAAUUAAUUAAGUUCAAAAAUUCUAUUUGUGGAGUAUUCAUUGUAGUAAACUCCAUAAUAAUUGGAAUUAUACAAAAAGAAAGGAGAAAAAAAGAAAGAAAAGGCAUGUGGCAAUUUGUUUGCAUUCAUUCCCACAACAUAGAGCUAUUCUUUUUUUUCGUUAACCCUCCAUACUCUUCAUUAUUUGAAAUACAACUCGUUAAUAAUAAAAUUAGACUCAAGAUUUUUUAAUCGUCCAAUCCACGGAAACUUAGGCCACCACCAAUACCUUGUCCACCACCAAAAUCUAUAUCGCCGAUUUGACCCCCGAUGCCUCCUCCGCCGCCUCCUCCGAUGGAGACUGAUCCAUCUCUGCCAAUGCUUCCGCCUAUCCCAAUACCUCCACCGCCGCCAAUAGACCCAACUCCUGGUACAGUUAUUGAACCCCCACCACCAAUACCUCCUCCAAUGUCUAUACCGUCAGGACCAACAUGUGCUCCUCCGCCGCCACCGCCGCCAAAUCCGCCUGUAACUUGUGGAAUAUUAUCGGGAAAACCUAAUCCGAUAAGCUUUCGAGCAGAAGUUGUAUAUAUUAGAGUUCCCAAAAUCAACAAAAUUAUGAAAUUUGAAGCCAUCUUGGGACGCGUUACUAUAAAUUGUAAGAAUUAACUCUUUUGUGAGCUAAAGAAGAUCCUUCGUUCUAAAUUGAGUGAUCAACUUAGCUCCAUACAGUUGUAGGUUUAACACAUUAUUUUUAUGAACAUGCUGCAGUAAUGACCAAGUAUGGAGAAAUAUAUUGUACAGUACUGAAUUUAUAAUAAAAUGAGUUCAAUUUAUGGAUGUAUCGAGUAUGCAACUGCAGAUUAAAAGAAGAUGAAACGGUAAAUUUUCACCAUUAAUUGCAUCUGUCAUAAAUACUAGAGAUUUUGCAUUAAACGUUGAUGUAACAGAUAACUUUAUUAUAAGAAUGCAUUAAUGAAUAAUGGCAUUCUAUUUGUAGCACGUUUCAGAUUCGAGUUUCUACAAGUCACUCAUUUUACAUGCUUGGAGUUCAAAAAAUUGAAAACAAAUUACAAGAAUCUGAUCUGAUAGAAGAAUAUAACUGCUAAAAUUCCGGCAAAAAGUGACCAAAAUUUAGCGAUCAAAUUUAGUUUGUCAAGAAAAGCGAUCAAAUUUUAUCGCCAAACUGCCUAAAAUAAUAAAAAAACUAUUAAAAAAAAACAUAUGUGCUUACGCUAUACUAUGUACGAAGAAUAAGUGUAUUAGGUAAUACUAUAUCGAAUAUAGCACAUAUAUAUAAUAUAUUGUGACGAACCGACCUGUCGUGUCACGACCCGGAUUUACCCACCAUCGGGAGUCGUGAUGGAGCCUACUGUCGAAGCUCGGCAAGCCAACCCCUUUUUAAUCAUUUUCACAAUAACUUUAAUCUAAAGCAAAUUAAAUACUAAUAUAAUUAAUUAAAAUACGCGGAAGACUUUUAACAAUACUAGAAAUGACAAAAUGCGGAAAUUAACAACAUGGCUCUACCAAGUUUCUGGUGUCACUACUCACGGACGACUAAAAGAGUACUAAAAAUAAUAGUCUGAAAGAAUACAUCACAUGUCUGUUUGAUACAAGGAAAACAAAUGUUUUCUAGAAGAGAUAGAGGAGACUCGGGGCCCGGGAACGCUUGCGAACUACCUCGGGAUCACACCUAACUAUUGCUGCAGUCUGUAGUCUGUUUUCUGACAUGUGCACAAAAAUGGCACAGAAGCGUAGUAUCAGCACAACCGACCCCAUGUGCUGGUAAGUGCGUGGCGUAACCUCGGCAAGGUAGUGAGAGGAUAAACCUGGCCUACCACAAGCAACCUGUACAGAUAUAUGUGUAAUAACAAAAAAAGAACAACAAUUUAAACAGAUAAUGGGGAGGGUACAUGCUGGGGGAGUAACAGUUCAAUUAUAACUUCAACAAACAAGAAAUGGAACUGAAUAUAUAAUAAUUAACUAAAGGAAGCCAGUGAAUCAAAAACUACACGGCAUCUAAGGUCAAUAACAAUAAUCAAUACAAGUUGUGGUAGGCGUAGCACUCGCUCCCGAUCAUGACAUAUCGUGGACGGCGUGCCACACGAUCAAAAUCAUAUUAUCUCGUGGUCGGCGUGCCACACGAUACCUAUUAUAUUAUCUCGUGGUCGGCGUGCCACACGAUCCCAAUCAUAUUAUCUCAUGUUCGGCGUGCCACACGAUCCCAAUCAUAUUAUCUCAUAGUCGCCGUGCCACACGAUCCCAAUAAUAUUAUCUCGUGGUCGGCGUGCCACACGAUCCCAAUUAUAUAAUAUAUAAGUGGACGGCGUGGCACAUGAUCCCAUAAUGUAAUAUAAUUGAAUAACUCUAUCAAUCUCUCCACAGAAGAUCCCGUUAGGGAAGGUCAUCAAUAUAACAGUUAAACCCGGCAAGGGUACACCUAAUAGCCCAAAAUAUCCCGGCAAGGGAAGAAUAACUCUACAAUAAGUCCCAGCACAUGAAUAUAACAGUUAAACCCAUCAAGAGUACAGCUAACAAUCCAAAAUAUACCGGCAAGGGAAGAACAACUCUACAAUAAGUCCCGGCAAGGGAAAACGAUUCAACAACAAAUUACGGCAAGGGAAAAAUACCAAAAUUCCUUCCUUAGCUGAUUUGCUUCUCAACUAUCAUUUCAUAGUUCAUUUAAUAAGUAUUUACCACAAUUGUUCAAUUCUUGCGACAAUUUAAUAACAAUUAUGACUCACAAUCAUGCUAGACUCGGGCGCAUAGGUAACUGUCACCAUACAUAUACACCGACUCUAUAUAUCACAUAGCAAAUAUUAUCCUAAUCCUAUUCCUUCAAGCCAAAGUUAUAUCAAACACUAACCUCAAAAGCUUCCAACUCAAUUCACGCUUCUAGAAUACCUUUACCCCUCGAAUUCGCCUCAAAACCGGUCGAAUCUAACCACAAUUUACUCAAAGGUAUAAACAAAUGCUAGUUAAAUAAAUUUGAAUGCAUAAUAAUGAAAUUCCCAAGUUUUACCCAAAAAUUCCCAAAAUUUCCCGGGCCCACGCGCUCAAAACUCGAGGUUCGAACAAAAACCGGGUUACCCAUUCCCCCACGAGUUCAUACAUGCAAUUUGUUUUGAAAUCGGACCCCAAAUUGAUGUCCAAAUCCCCAAUUAUUGAAAAACCUAAAUUCUACACAAAUCUCCAUUUUUAACCAUGAAAGCUUUGAUUUAAAGAUGAAAUCAAGUUAGAAUAAUUUUAUCAAAACCUAGGUUCUAUCCCAAAUACCCAUUUUUACCCAUUGAAAGCUUUGAUUUUAAGAUGAAAUCAUGUUAGAAGAUGUUAAAGAUUGGAGAAAUUGAGUACAAUUUUACUUACAAGUGAUUUGGGUGAGAAAGAGUCGAGAGAAAAUCGCCAAUGGAGGUUUGGGUUUUGAAAAUAUGAAAAAUGAAGUUUGAAAUCGGCUAAGUAUAAGUUGCACAGUUGCAGAUGUCGCAAAUGCGAUAUUAACUUCGCAUUUGUGAACUAGGCAGAAAUAAAGGGAAUCUCGCAUUUGUGAGAGAAUGUUCGCAAAUGCAAACUGGGCAGGGAAAAUGAUUAACUUGCAUUUGCGAGAAAAGGUUCGCAAAUGCGAAUACACGCUUAAGCUGGGGAAAUUCGCAUUUGCGAGAUUGGCUUCGCAUUUACGAAGUCUGGCUGGAAAGGGGAAUGACCGCAAUUGCGGAGACUGGCCAAACAAAGGAGGAUCGAAAUUAUGAGAUUUUUCCUCGCAUUUGCGAAGAAGAAGGCUAAAGGGGGAAGUUCGCAUGUGCGAAGAUUUCUUUGCAAAUGCGAAGACUACACAUACCAGCAGUUGAAAUGCUUCAAAAUGAGCCUAUCACAUAUCCGAAACUCACCCGAUCCCUUUGGGCUCCAACCCAAACAUGCACCAAACCUCAAAAACAUCCUACAGACUUACACGUGCGAUCAAAUCGCCAAAAUAACAUCAAAAUCAAAUAAUCAACCUCAAAAACUCAUGAUUUUAAUUUCAAAGUUCAAAACUUUCAAAAAUUCCUUUUUUAUAUCGAAACACGCCAAACGACUUUCGUUUUCAACCAAACUUAACAGAUAGCGCUUGACGCUCAUUUAAGACUUGUACCAAGCGUCGGAACUAAAAUAUGAGCCCGAUACCAUCACUUUUAAUCAAUUUUCAUUUUCAUUUUUUUUCUUAAGAAAUUUCAGAAAACAAUUUCAUAGAAAAAUUUCGUACUCAGGCCUGCGACCUCGGAUUUCGAUUCCGGGAAUAUGCCCAUGUCCCAAAUUUCAUUACGGAUCAUUCGGGACCAUCACAUCAGGGUUCCGGGUACGUUUACCCAAACACAUUGACCAAAGUCAACUAUAGCAAUAUUAUUAUCAAAAUUCAUAGUUUUUAACACAGAAUUCAAAUAUUUCCACAUAAACAUUUUCCGGCUUCGUGUCGGACUGCGCAUGCAAAUUGAGGCAACCAACUAAGAGGUUACAAGGCCUUAGAAGCGCAAAGAAAGAGAGAAUUGCAGUGAUGACCCUUUGGGUCGUCACAUCCUCCACCUCUAAAACAACCUUUCGUCCUCGAAUGGACAAAAGAAAGGAGUACCUGAGUCGGGGAAUAGAUGGAGAUAACGGCUCCACAUAGACUUGGAAUCCAAAGUCGAGGCCUUAGUAGGGUGACCUCUCCACUGAACACGCACUGAAGGUAAACUCUGCGACUUCAACAGUCGAACCUGUCGGUCUAAAAUAGCCACCGGCUCCUCCUCAUAUGACAGAUCCUUGUCCAAUUGGGAGGCUGACCUCUCCACCGAACACGCACCGAAGAAAAACUCCGCGACCUCAACUGUCGAACAUGCCGGUCUAAAAUAGCCACCGGCUCCUCCUCAUAUGAUAGAUCCUUGUCCAAUUGGGCAGUACUGAAAUCUAACACGUGGGUGAGAUCACCAUGAUACUUUCGAAGAUGGAUACAUGAAAAACCGGGUGCACAACUGACAAACUAGGUGGCAAUGCAAGUCCAUAAGCCACAUUUCCCACACGGUCAAGAAUCUCAAAUUACCAAUAUACCUAGGGCUAAGCUUUCCCUUCUUCCCGAACCUCAUCACACCCUCAAAGGCGAUACACGAAGUAAUACCCGCUCACAAACCAUGAAUACAACAUCCCUGACCUUACGAUCUUCAAAACGUUUCUGCCUAGACUGAGCUGACUGAAGCCUAUCCUGAAUGAUCUUGACCUUAUCCAAGGCCUCCUGUACCAAAUCUGUACCCAAUAAUCGAGCCUUUCCCGUCUCAAACCAUCUGACUGGGGACCGACACCACUUACCAUACAAUGCAUCAUAUGGAACCAUCUGAAUAUUUGACUGGUAGUUGUUGUUGUAGGCAAACACUGGUAAAGGCAAGAACGGCUCGCACGAGCCUCCAAAGUCAAUAAUGCAGGCUCGGAGCAUAUCCUCAAGAAUCUAAAUAGUCCUCUCGGACUGACCAUCCGUCUGGGGGUGAAAUGUUGUACCCAACUGGACAUGGGUGCCCAACUCAUGCUGCACCGCUCUCCAGAAAUGUGAGGUAAACUGCGGACCCCGAUCCNNNAAUCUCAAGUGGACCUGAGUGCCCAACUCAUGCUGUACCGCUCUCCAGAAAUGCGAGGUAAACUGCGGACCCCAGUCCGAAAUAAUAGAUAUAGGGACCCGAUGAAGGCAAACGAUCUCCCUGAUAUAAAUCUCAACAUACCUCUCGGAUGAAUAGGUGGUGGCAACUGGGAUGAAAUGCGCUGACUUAUCAGCCUAUCAACAAUAACCCAUAUAACAUCAAACUUCUUCCGAGUCAUCGAAAGGCCAGUAACAAAAUCCGUGGUGAUUCUCUCCCACUUCCACUCGGGAACCUCAAUCCUUUGAAAUAACCCAUCGGGCUUUUGAUGCUCGUACUUAACCUGCUGAUAAUUUAGACAACGAGCCACAUAUACAACAAUGUCUUUCUUCAUUCUGCGCCGCCAAUAAUGCUGUCUCAAAUCCUGAUACAUUUUCGCGACGCCCGGGUGAAUAGAAUACCGAGAACUAUGGGCCUCCGCUAAGAUAGAUUCUCGAAUACCAUCAACAUUGGGCACAGAAACUCGCCCCGGCAACCUCAAUACCCCAUCAUCUCCCAAAGUCAUCUCCCUGGCGCCUCCCCGCUGUACCGUCUCUCUCGGGACACACAAAUGGGGAUCAUCAAUCUGUCGCUCCCGGAUACGCUCCAUCAAUGACGAGCGAGCAACCGUGCAAGCUAACACCCUGCUGGGUUCAGAAAUAUCCAAUCUCACAAAUCUAUUGGCCAAGGCGUGAACAUCCAAGGCAAGUGGUCUCUGGCUAACAGGAAUAUAUGCAAGACUACCCAUGUUGGCGGACUUCCUACUCAAUGCAUCGGCCACAUCCAAUAUCACAAAUCUAUUUGUCACGGCCCGAACAUCCAAGGCAAGCGAUCUCUUGCUGAUCGAAAUAUAUGCAAGACUACCCAUGGUGGCGGACUUUUUACUCAAUGCAUCAGCCACCACAUUGGCCUUCCCCGGGUGGUAUAAAAUAGAAGCAUCAUAAUCUUUUUACAACUCCAACCACCUCCAUUGUCUCAAAUUCAACUCUUUCUGCUUGAACAGGUAAUGAAGGCUCUUAUGAUCUGUGUACACCUCACACGUCACACCAUACAAAUAAUGCCUCCAGAUCUUAAAGGCAUGAACAAUGGCUGCAAACUCUAGGUCAUGAACUGGAUAAUUCAUCUUGUGGAUCUUCAACUGCCUCGAAAUAAUGCCUCCAGAUCUUAAAGGCAUGAACAAUGGCUGCCAACUCUAGGUCAUGAACUGGAUAAUUCUUCUUGUGGAUUUUCAACUGCCUCGAAGCAUAUGCUAUAACCUUGAUGUCCUGCAUCAACACUGUGCCAAGUCCGAUACGGGAGGCAUCACAAUACACAGUAUAAGGCCCAGACCCCGUGAGCAAAGCCAAUACAGGUACCAUAGUCAUAGCCGUCUUGAGCUUCUGGAAGCUCGCCUCGCACUAAUCUGACCACAUGAACUGGGCACCCUUCUGAGUCAAUCUAGUCAUCGGGGUUCCGAUGAAUGAAAACCCCUCCACGAAACGUCUGUAGUAACCAACUAACCACAAGAAGCUCCGAAUCUCUGUAGCUAAGCUUGUCGAGGCCAGUUCUUGACUACUUCUAUCUUCUUCGAGUCUACCUGAAUACCCUCUACUGAUACGACAUGAUUAGGAAUGCAACUGAACGCAACCGAAAUUCGUACUAUGAAAACUUGGCAUAAAACUGGCUAUGCUUCAGAGUCUAAAGAACCACUCUGAGGUGCUGCUCAUGCUCCUCCUGGCUGCGGGAGUAGACCAAGAUAUCAUCAAUGAAUACAGUCACAAAUAAAUCCAAAUAAGGCCUGAACGCUCGAUUUAUCAACUCCAUGAAUUAUGCUAGGGCAUUGGUCAACCCAAACGACAUGACCAAAAACUCAUAAAUCCCAAAUAAAUCCAAAUAAGGCCCGAACACUCAGUUUAUCAACUCCAUGAAUGCUGCCGAGGCAUUGGUCAACCCAAACGACAUGACUAGAAACUCAUACGAAGUGCUGUCUUAGAGAAAUCUGACGCCCUAAUCCUCAGCUGAUGAUAACCAGACCUCAAAUAUAUCUUCAAGAACACCCUGGAACCCUGGAUCCGGUCAAUCAAACUGUCAAUGCUCAGCAGUGGAUACUUGUUCUUUAUCGUCACCUUGUUCAACUGCCGGUAAUCAAUGCCCAUCCUCAUCGACCCGUCCUUUUUCUUCACAAACAACACUGGUGCACUCCAAGGUGAUGCACUAGGUCUAAUGAAACCCUUAUCAAGCAAGUCCUGAAGUUGCUCCUUCAACUCUUUCAACUCUUGCAGGGCCAUGCGAUACGACGAAAAAGAAAUAAGUUGAGUACCAGGAGCCAGAUCAAUACAGAAAUCAAUAUCCCUAUCAGGAGGCAUACCCAGCAGGUCUGAAGGAAAACCUCAGGGAACUCCUAACCAAUAGGGAUAGAAUCGAUAGAUGGAACCUCUACUUGGAGUUGCGAAGAUACGCCAAAUAUGCUAGACACCCUUUUUCAACCAUACGCCGAGGCUUGAUAUAUGAAAUCACACUACAGGUGGCAUGACCUGGGGUCCCUCUCCUCUCAAGUCGGGGCAAAUCGGGCAAGGCCAAUGUCAUGUUCUUGGUGUGACAAUCCAAGAUAGCAUGAUAUGGGGACAACCAGUCCAUCCCCAAUAUAACAUCAAAUACCACCAUGUCUAGAAGCAAUAAGUCGACACGGGUCUCAAGACCCUCAAAUACCACCACACAAGAACGAUGGACUCGUUUGACCACAAUAAAAUCACCAACCGGCUCGGACACAUAUACAGUAAUACUCAAAGUUUCACUAGGCAUGAUCAAAUAGGGUGCAAAUUAGGAGGACACAUAAGAAUAUGUAGAUCUCAGAUCAAAUAAUACUGAAGCACCUCUAUCAAAGACCAGUAUAGUACCUGUAAUCACAUCAUCAGAUGACUCGGCCUCCGGCCUAGUUGGCAAUGCAUAACAACGGAGCUAGCCCCCACCUCCCUGAAUUGUAUCACUAGGAUGAUCUGCUGCGGGCUGACCCCUACCUCUGGCUGUUUGAGCUCUACCUCUAUGCUCCCUACCUCCACCUCGAUGGUAUCUACCCCCGCAUCUAGCUCGCUGGGUGGCCUUUGGAUCAUUUGCUGCCUGAAUCAUGGGACGAGGACACUGCUGCUGUGAACUGCUAGAAGCUCGAGGGCAAUACUUGGCAAUGUGCCUCAGGUCGCCACAAGUGAAGCAAGCACUCGGCUGCUGAGAAUAUCGAAGUGGUGGUGCACUGAUAGGAGUUGAUGGUGAGCUGAAGAGCUGCUGGUCAGAAUAUUGUGGCUGAGAGCUACGACCACCUGGAGCAUUAUGAGAAAUCUGGAGAGCUGACUGGAAAGGUCUCACGGGAUGGCCUCUGUCAUGGAAAUCCCUACCUCCAGAUGAGGUACCACUAAAUCUACCAGAAUGAGAGCUACUGGUCAGAAAACUGUGGCUGAGAGCUACGACCACCUGGAGCACUAUGAGAAGCCUGGAGUGCUUACUGGAAAGGUCUCGAGGGACGGCCUCGGUCAUGGAAAUCCCUACCUCCAGAUGAGGUACCACAAAAUCUACCAGAAUGUUGAGGCCUCUUAUCUGAACCCUUAAUAUCUUCUCGAGCCAGUGCCAUCUCUACUCGGCGGGCUGCAUUGGCUGCCUCCUGAAAAGUAAUAUCAUAACAAAAUCACAUAGCCAUCUGAAGGCAAAUCGGCUGAAUCAAUCCAUCAAUGAAACUUCGGACCAUCUCUCGAUCUGUAGGGAGUAUCACUACUGAAUGGCGUGCCAAGUAAACAAAUCUUGUCUCACACUAUGUAACUGUCAGUGAGACCUGCUGAAGGCGCUCAAACUGCUCACGAAGCGCCUCCCGCUGAGUGACGGGGAGAAACUUCUCCAAAAUAACUCCGCGAACUGAUCCCAUGUCAAGGCUGGUGACUCUGCUGGUCUAGAUAAGCAAAAAUCCCUCCACCAAGUCUUGGUGGACCCCACAAGCCUAAAAGUACAAAAAUAAACCCCAUUGGUCUCUACUAUCCCCAUAGUCCUGAAGAUCUCAUGACAACUGCAUAGAAAAUACUGGGGAUCCUCCGAUGAAGCACCGCCGAAAGUAGUGGUGAAAGGCUUGGAGAACCGAUUGAGUCUCCACAAAGCAUCUGAAGACAUGGCCCCCCCAUCUACGGCCUGAGCUGCAAUGCCUGUCUGAGCUGCCUCUGUGGGCUGAACUAACGGAUCCUGAGUCUAGGGAGCUACCUGCUCCAGAGGACGUGUAGCAGGAGUCUGAACCCCUCAUCCAGCCUAAGAAGUGGCUGGUUCUACUGGAGGCAAUCCCGCUCUAGCGACACUGUCCGUAAAGCAUGAUAUGCGGACAAGAGCAUCCAUCUGAAGAAAACAUCAUUCCUCCUAGGACCUGAGUUGGGCCCACUGGAGCUGGUAGAGCUGAAACCUCCUCAUCAAAGUCAAUAUGAGGAUCCACCUCUCGAACAGCUGCCUGGGGCUGUGCUUUGCCCUUGCCACGGCCUCUGGCACGGCCUUGACCCCUGCCACUCGCGGGAGCUACUGCUGGGGGCUCGGGAUGCUGUGCAGAAGAAGAAGAUGCAUGUGUUCUCUCCAUCUGCGAAAGAACAUAGUAGAACGACAAUUAAUAUUUGAGAAAUUGAAUCGCAUGACAAGAAUGAACAAA
rnacentral:lncRNA from 1 species